UUUUAGGGCCAUCCUACCCCAAACAUGUCUGAUCUCGUCUGAUCAGGGAAGGAAGGUAAGCAGGGUCAGGCCUGGUUAAUGUUUGGCAUGGGAGACUGCCUGGGACUACCGGGUGCUGUAGGCU
rnacentral:rRNA from 1 species